CGACAGCUGCAGGAUUCGAACCUGCGCGGGCAAAGCCCAAAAGAUUUCUAAUCUUNCUCCUUAACCACNCGG
rnacentral:tRNA from 1 species